AGUGGCGAACGGGUGAGUAACGCGUGAGUAUCUGCCCUUAGGAGGGGGACAACAGUUGGAAACGACUGCUAAUACCCCAUAUGUCUACGGAUGAAAGAUUUUAUCGCCUGAGGAUGAACUCGCGUCUGAUUAGCUAGUUGGUGAGGUAAUGGCUCACCAAGGCGACGAUCAGUAGCUGGUCUGAGAGGAUGAUCAGCCACACUGGGACUGAGACACGGCCCAGACUCCUACGGGAGGCAGCAGUGGGGAAUUUUCCGCAAUGGGGGCAACCCUGACGGAGCAAUACCGCGUGCGGGAGGACGGCCUGUGGGUUGUAAACCGCUUUUCUCAGGGAAGAAGACCUGACGGUACCUGAGGAAUCAGCAUCGGCUAACUCCGUGCCAGCAGCCGCGGUAAUACGGAGGAUGCAAGCGUUAUCCGGAAUUAUUGGGCGUAAAGCGUCCGUAGGUGGUUAAUCAAGUCUGCUGUUAAAGGGCGGAGCUUAACUCCGUUUAAGCGGUGGAAACUGGUUGACUAGAGAGUGGUAGGGGUAGAGGGAAUUCCCAGUGUAGCGGUGAAAUGCGUAGAUAUUGGGAAGAACACCGGUGGCGAAAGCGCUCUACUGGGCCACAUCUGACACUGAUGGACGAAAGCUAGGGGAGCGAAAGGGAUUAGAUACCCC
rnacentral:rRNA from 1 species